rnacentral:misc_RNA from 1 species
GAUGAAGAACGUAGCGAAAUGCGAUAAGUAAUGUGAAUUGCAGAAUUCAGUGAAUCAUCGAAUAUUUGAACGCACAUUGCGCCCGCCAGUAUUCUGGCGGGCAUGCCUGUUCGAGCGUCAUUUCAACCCUCAGGCCCCGCCUGGCGUUGGGGAUCGGCGCGGCCCUCUCCGGGCUGCCGGCCCCGAAAACUAGUGGCGGUCUCGCUGUAGUCCUCCUCUGCGCAGUAGCAACGCUCGCACUGGAACUCGGCGCGGCCACGCCGUAAAACACCCCACUUCUGAAAGUUGACCUCGGAUCAGGUAGGAAUACCCGCUGAACUUAAGCAUAUCAAUAAGCGGAGGA